rnacentral:rRNA from 1 species
UACGUAGGUGGCAAGCGUUGUCCGGAAUUAUUGGGCGUAAAGCGCGCGCAGGGCGGUUCUUUAAGUCUGAUGUGAAAGCCCACGGCUCAACCGUGGAGGGUCAUUGGAAACUGGAGAACUUGAGUACAGAAGAGGAAAGCGGAAUUCCACGUGUAGCGGUGAAAUGCGUAGAGAUGUGGAGGAACACCAGUGGCGAAGGCGGCUUCUGGUCUGUAACUGACGCUGAGGCGCGAAAGCGUGGGAGCAAACAGG